CAGAACCUCACACUUUACCAGGCAGGCGCUGUGCUGCUGAGCGACAUCCCUGACCCGAGAUAGACUGACUCUUGAUUUGAGAAACAGACGUGGAUUGUGACAGCGUAGUGAGAGAGAAGAGAAAUCCAAUGAGGCUCAACUACUCAGCUGCUUAAAGAAGAUGACCUAGGUGAUUAUCCAUCGGAAGCAGGACACGGUACCGCUGAGGUUCGUCGACGAGGCUCAAGAGAUGAGGAACGCACACGCAAUCCUAACAUAAAGAAGAAAAAGAAGGAAAACUGAUGCCUCAACCCUAAAGCUAGGAAGUAAAUCAACAGCGCAGUGAUGGGAAGAGCUGCACAGAGGGCAGAGAGCAUGAGUAACAGUCCUGGAUUGGACUCACCACAGAGUGGAAAAGCUGUGAUGGUUCCUGAUGUCAUUGAACUUCUCCAAAAUGAGUUGGUGGGGCUGCUGGUGUCACAUUUAACCCAUUUCCCUGCUGAACGCUCACUGACUUUUCCCCAAGGAGAUGAACUGCAACGACCCUCAUGUCGGAGUCACCCCUGUGUGUGUUCUAACUCGUCCUCAUGCUGCCUUCUAAAGUCCCACUGGGAGGUUUGUAAUGACAUAGUAGUGGGAGAAACCGAACUGUAAUCUGAAAACUGUGUAUCUAUUUAGAGACAUAACUAUGUGCUUGUAUUUAUAAAUUUAUAAAUAAAUG